GGCCCUCUUUCUCNUCGGAGGAGAGGGCUGGGCCGCUUCCGUCGGGUCGGCGGCCGAGGAGGCCACUGCGCGUCAGUGGUCGCCGACGGCUCCGUCGCGCUCUGGCGGGAGGCCGGUCACACCUCG
rnacentral:rRNA from 1 species